CAGCACCUCAAGUGGUCAGGAUGAUUAUUGGGCCUAAAGCAUCCGUAGCCGGCUCUGUAAGUUUUCGGUUAAAUCUGUACGCUCGACGUACAGGCUGCCGGGAAUACUGCAGAGCUAGGGAGUGGGAGAGGUAGACGGUACUCGGUAGGAAGGGGUAAAAUCCUUUGAUCUAUUGAUGACCACCUGUGGCGAAGGCGGUCUACCAGAACACGUCCGACGGUGAGGGAUGAAAGCUGGGGGAGCAAACCGGAUUAGAUACCCGAGUAGUCC
rnacentral:rRNA from 1 species